AUUGAACGCUGGCGGCAUGCUUUACACAUGCAAGUCGAACGGUAACAGGCCGCAAGGUGCUGACGAGUGGCGAACGGGUGAGUAAUGCAUCGGAACGUGCCCAGUCGUGGGGGAUAACGCAGCGAAAGCUGCGCUAAUACCGCAUACGAUCUAUGGAUGAAAGCGGGGGACCGAAAGGCCUCGCGCGAUUGGAGCGGCCGAUGUCAGAUGAGGUAGUUGGUGGGGUAAAGGCCCACCAAGCCAACGAUCUGUAGCUGGUCUGAGAGGACGACCAGCCACACGGGGACUGAGGCACGGCCCAGACUCCGACGGGAGGCAGCAGUGGGGAAUGUUGGACAAUGGGCGCAAGCCUGAUCCAGCAAUGCCGCGUGCAGGAAGAAGGCCUUCGGGUUGUAAACUGCUUUUGUACGGAACGAAACGGUCCGGGUUAAUACCCUGGGCUAAUGACGGUACCGUAAGAAUAAGCACCGGCUAACUACGUGCCAGCCGCCGCCGUAAUAC
rnacentral:rRNA from 1 species